UACGUAGGGUGCGAGCGUUGUCCGGAAUUAUUGGGCGUAAAGAGCUCGUAGGCGGUCUGUUACGUCCGCUGUGAAAACCCAGGGCUUAACCCUGGGCUUGCAGUGGAUACGGGUAGACUAGAGGCAGGUAGGGGAGAAUGGAAUUCCCGGUGUAGCGGUGAAAUGCGCAGAUAUCGGGAGGAACACCGGUGGCGAAGGCGGUUCUCUGGGCCUGACCUGACGCUGAGGAGCGAAAGCGUGGGGAGCGAACAGG
rnacentral:rRNA from 1 species